CCCGGCGCCCCGGAAGGAGUCGGGAGAGGCGUCGGGCUUCCGAACGGGCUUGAUGGCGGGUAGUCGGCUGCGGCAGCUGCAGGCCGUGGACACAGAGUUCACCGCGGACGCCGUGGAGUGGUGCCCUCUGGAGGGCUGCCGGCGCCUGCUGGCCUGCGGCACCUACCAGCUGCGCGGCCCCGAGAGCGCGCCCGUCGGCCCCGGGGGCGAGGGUGGACUAGACGUGGACGGGGUCGUUGAGCAGCCACAAGUCCGUCUGGGCCGCGUUUACCUGUACAGUAUCAGUGAGGACGACUCUGCUUAUUCUCUGGUCGAGGUCCAAAGGAAAGAUACGUCUGCAGUGCUGGACAUGAAAUGGUGCCAUGUCCCGGUGGCCGGCUGUGGCGUCUUGGGUGUGGCGGAUGCCAGUGGAUCUGUAGAGUUGCUCCGCCUGGUGGGGUCUGAGAAGAGCAGGCCCCUCCUGGAGCCUUGGUGCAGCCUCUCACUGGGGGAGGAGCGUCUGGCCUUGUCACUGGAUUGGUCCACAGGGAAGCAUGCAAGGCCCAGUGACCAGCCCUUGAAGAUUGUCAGCAGUGACUCCAAGGGGCAGCUGCACCUCCUCAUGCUGGACAAAGCAGGGCCCAUGCUGCAGCCAGUGGCCUCAUGGCAGGCCCAUCACUUUGAGGCUUGGAUCGCUGCUUUCAACUACUGGCAGACAGAAGUCGUGUAUUCAGGGGGAGAUGAUGGGCUCCUGAAAGGCUGGGACACCAGGACCCCUGGCCCGUGUGUCUUCACCAGCUCGAGUCACGCCAUGGGUGUAUGCAGUAUCCAGAGCAGCCUGCAUCGGGAGCACAUGCUGGCCACAGGGAGCUAUGAUGAGCACGUGCUCCUGUGGGAUGUGAGGAACAUGGAGCAGCCACUGGCAGAUGCUCACGUGCAGGGCGGGGUGUGGAGGCUCAAGUGGCACCCGCACCACCACGACCUCCUCCUGGCAGCCUGCAUGCACCACGGCUUUGCAGUCCUCGAUUGCCAUGACGUCACAGGACCUCAGUAGCCAACACCUGGUCUCACCUACUGCUGCUCUCCGGCGUCCUGGCUCCUCCUGCAUUUUGUGACUGGCCCUGCGGGGCCCUUGCAGAAAACGUGCCCUUGUCACUGCUGUGCAGCCCGCCUCUGUUCUCGCCUGGGAGUGGUGUGGACUCUGCUCCUGGGUCCCACACAUGCUGACUUCCCUUUGACCCCUUUCUCUGCUUGGCCAGAGCCCUGCAUUUGCUGAGCUCAGCCGUUGGAGUGGCCUCACUUCUGAGGAUGCCCAUGCUAUCAAGCAUGAACUGCCAUGGUCAGGGCUGUUCCCCUGUCCUCCUCCCUGUCCUUCCACUCCCUCCAUCACACCUGCUGGCCUUUGAACAUCCCCACCGCCCUCUGAGCUGCUCUUCUGUCCUCCCGAGCCUGCCCUGCGCUGUGCCUCUCUCUUCUGCAUCCCCUCUUCCUGCUUGCUCACCUGCUGUAGCUUUGGUGAUGGGAACGUCUUUCAUCUUCGAAUACCUGAGGUCUGUUGUCUUACCAUAGCUGCUCUCAGUGGCCAUUUCCUCUGAGUGCCACAUUCUGAACACUUCAGUUUGUCAGAUCUUUAUGCUCACUCAUCACAAGGUGUUUUGCAGUCUCCUUUGUGAUUCCUUUGUUGACCAUGAGCUGUUUAUUAGCAGACUGUGUAGAGCUGUGAUUUCUAACCAAGCCACCAGCUGGCACUUGGUCUGUCCCGAGCCUGCCCAGUGCCCACCUGGGAAGAAAGUGUCUGUGUACACUGUAGUCAGCCACUGUCUGGGUCCUCACCCACUGCGUGGGUCAGCACUGAGCGUGGUGUUCCAGUCUCCAAGUCUGUUUCCCCCUGAUUUCUAUCAGUUUGUGCUUCUGUGUCUUGGGGCUUUGUGUUUAGAUGAUGUGGGUGUAAUUUUCCCAUCUGCUCCCAGCUGACCCUUUUCUCAUUAGAGUGUCCGUUAUGCCUGGUAACAUUUUUGUUUCAAAAUCAAUUUUGUCUGUUAAGAGUGUAGCCAUUCGUCCUUUCUGUUCCUCUUUGCCAGCAGUCUUCGUUGUCCUGGUGCCUCCCGCUGGGGAUGCUGGCCGCCCUAGGUCCUGGCAGUGGUGGUGUGAACUCUGGCCCCUUUGUGAAGGUGCUAUCCACCAGGUCUCCCCUGUAAACACUCGGGGUUCCCCUCUGUAAUAACGGAGAACUGUGUGGGGGAGGCUUUGAAGCUUUGCCAGUCCCUGAGUGAGUUACGACUACGAUCAUUGAGAAACCGUGACUCCUGUCUUUCUACAUGUGUUGCUUAGCUUUUUUUUUUUGGUACCGGGGAUCGAACUCAGGUCCUUGCGCUUGUGAGGGAGGCAGCAGAUCCACUGAGCUAGAUCCCUGGCCCUUGAUCAGCAUUCUUUUGUAAGGAUGAGCUUCCUCUUCUCUCUUAUGUCUGCCUGUAUUUCAUUUCAUUUUACCUUACUGUCUUGUUCUGGGAGAGGGUCUGGCUGUGUAGUUCAGACUGGCCUGGCCUUCAACUUGCGGUGGUCCUCCUGCCUCAGCGCCACCAGCCCAUUUUAAUGGAUUCUUUUUUCUGUUGUUACUACGCUGGCUAUGGGAUGUUUGGGCUGUCCCAGAGUCUUCCUCCGAAAGCCUCGGUAGGGUGCCGUCUCUCUGCACAUGUCCUGUUGUUUAUUGGAACAUGCCCUUACUGUUUGGUGCACUAUAUUCCAGGUUCAUUUUAUAUCUUCUGUCUCCCAGUCUUGGAAUCAGUUAUUUUUCCAGAGAAUCCUGGAUCUUCUUAAUGGUGAAUGCUGUUAAGAAACCGAGACCUGAGCUGGGCAUGGUGGCACUCAGGAUGCUGAGGCAGCAGGGUUGCCGUACGUUCGAGGCCAGCCUGGGUUAUAUAGCAAGACCCUGUCCAGAAAAAAAGAAAGCAAACCAGUGCUCACACUUGCAGAUGCUGAAGGGUUAUGUGUGUUCUCGUGUGUGUGUGUGUGUGUGUGUGUGUGUGUGUGUGGAGCUGGAUGUGGCUCAGUGGUAGAGCGCAGGCAUAGUGCGUGCCAGGCCCUGGGUUCGGUCCCCAGAACCACACGCCACCCAUACACACCUACACGCCUGCGCACACCCCCACCGGCCCAUAUGCACCCCACACCCACACAUGCACGUAAACACGUGUUCACAGUGCCGCCUCUGACUGUAGCUCGACACGUUCUGUGUUGCCCCCUUCCGUUUGUGACCCUCACCAGCAAGAACCCGGCUCCCCACAAGCAUCUCUUCACGCGCUUCACCUCACGUUGAUGCUCACACCGAAGAAAUGUGCCAUGUGGGUUUAAGACAUUUCUGCAGGUCUUGCUGAUCAAGAUACAGAGUCAAACAACUAUGUACUUUUUUUUUUUUUUUUUGUACCAGAGAUUGAACUCAGGUCCUUGCGCUUGUGCAGCAGGCAGCGAAACCACUGAGCUAAAUCCCUGGCCCACUAUAUAGUUUUUUAAAGAAUUUUUUGUUUUUUGAUUUUGGCGAUACUGGAUAUUGAAGCCAGGUUCUUUAUUUUUUGCUUUUGAGGCAUAUGGUUUUGUUAAGUUGCUUAGUUGCCUAGGCUGGGCUAGAGCCUGUUUCUCCUGUGUCACCCUUCCAGAGUGCUGGGAUUGCAGAUGUCUGCCUAAAGGCAUUUUUCUUUAUCCUCACUGAUUUCAUUUGCAUCUUUCCAAUGUGUAAAAACAUUAAUAAUGUACCAGAAAUUAAAAUUAUAUAAAAGUAUGCCCUGGGAGUUUCCCUUCUUCUCCUUUUGUUGCUACACACUAUUUGUGUGUAAGAUGUCUUAGUAGUUUUUGUUUAUAAUUGUCUUUUAGUUGUAAAUAUACAGGCUGUACCACCCUAUAAUUGUAUCUUUUUGCAAAAAUAAGCAUAAGCAUUAAUUUGUUUAUUUCGUCUUUCUUAUGAAACAUAACAGUCUAAGGCUGGGGAUGUAGCUCAGUGGCUUCGCCGCCUGCUGCGCAAGUGCAGGGACCCGAGUUCAAUCCCCAGUACCAUGAAAAAACAAAAAAACAUUAUAAACCCAGGCAUGGUGGCACAUGCCUGUAAUCCCAGCACUUAGGAGGCUGAAGCAAGAGCGUUCCUGUGACUGUGAGGACAGCCUGGAGUAUACAGUGAAACCCUGUGUCAAACGAGUAACAUUCUAUAUGCCCUUCUUUUUGUUCUUUGCUCACUUCAUUUAAAAAUAUGAUCUAUCUCUGGGAGGCUGAGGCAGGAAGAUUGCAAGUUUGAGCCCAGCCUGGCAACUUAGUGAAUGAGAUUGUCUCAAAAUAAAAAAGGGCUGAGGAUGUAGCACAGUGCAGAGGCCCUGGGUUCAGUUCCCAGCACCAAAAGUGUAGUCUAGCCGUGUGCAAUGCCACGUUCCUGUAAUCCCAGCACUGAGGAGGUUGAGGCAGGAGGAUCACUUGAGCCUAGGAGUUUGAGAUCAGCAUUGGCAACAUCGUGAGACUAUCUCAAAAAAUGGAAAAGUAAAAUAAUAAUCUUCGGAACAAGAGAUGUAGCUCAGUGGUAGAGUGCUUCCCUAGCAUGCAUGAGUUUGAUCCCCAGGUCUUCAAAGAUGAAACAAAUCUUGCUGUCACUCCAUUAUAGUUUUGUUGGGACUUUCUUGGUGCUUGGGUGGGCCCCUUGGCUCUCCUGUUGCUGGUGCUGGAGGCCACUGACGUUCGUGGCUGUGCUCGCAGGCAGUAGACCUGCUUAGGUGUGGUCAUAGUUGCUUUCUUUCUCUGCCCUAAUGCCUCUUCUGUCACACACACACACACACACACACACACACACACACACACCCCGCCCCGCCAGCUGUGCACCAUGGGAACUGUUGGCUUCUUUGUUGCCCUGCCUCCACCCUCCAGUCUGCCCCAGGAGCUCUCCAGAAAGACACUGUUAAGAGAAUCACAUCAGAACACAGAGAACCUGCUUGGUUUGGACCCACUAGCCACAUGUCAUUGUCACUGUGCUUGUGGGGCUUCCUGACCUGUACCAUGUGUGUGCUCCCUGCUCUUCAUCAGUCCCUUCCCUCCUACUUGGCUGCUCCUUUGUCUUUUGCUUAUGAGCCUGAACUGAGGUCUAGCCCCCCGAGCUCCUGUGUUCUACAGCCCUGGCCGAUCCUAAGGCUCACAAGGUAAUGCUGUUUCCUGUUUUCUCUUGCUUCAGAGAAGAAGGAAGUGACAGUCUUGGAGUCCUACAAGCUGCCCACCUCGCUGGUGUAUGGGGCUGACUGGUCCUGGCUCCCCUUCUGUUCCCUGCAGCCAGUGGCCCCUGCAUCCCUUCCUGACACUGACAUGGGAGGCCAUCUCUGUGGCCUGAAAGUUGCAGGGGACUUGUGGGACAGCAGCAGCCAACCGUACAAC